rnacentral:rRNA from 1 species
GACGAACGCUGGCGGCGUGCCUAAUACAUGCAAGUCGAGCGCAGGAAACUGACGGAACUCUUCGGAGGGAAGGCAGCGGAAUGAGCGGCGGACGGGUGAGUAACACGUAAGGAACCUGCAUCAAGGAUUGGGAUAACUCCGAGAAAUCGGAGCUAAUACCGGAUAGUUCAACGGACCGCAUGGUCCGCUGAUGAAAGGCGCUUCGGCGUCACCUUGAGAUGGCCUUGCGGUGCAUUAGCUAGUUGGUGGGGUAACGGCCCACCAAGGCGACGAUGCAUAGCCGACCUGAGAGGGUGAUCGGCCACACUGGGACUGAGACACGGCCCAGACUCCUACGGGAGGCAGCAGUAGGGAAUCUUCCACAAUGGACGAAAGUCUGAUGGAGCAACGCCGCGCGAGUGAUGAAGGUUUUCGGAUCGUAAAACUCUGUUGUAAGGGAAGAACACGUACGAGAGGUAAUGCUCGUACCUUGACGGUACCUUACGAGAAAGCCACGGCUAACUACGUGCCAGCCGCCGCUGUAACAC